AACGAACGCUGGCGGCAGGCCUAACACAUGCAAGUCGAACGCUGUAGCGAUACAGAGUGGCGGACGGGUGAGUAACGCGUGGGAACGUGCCUUUCGGUUCGGAAUAACUCAGGGAAACUUGAGCUAAUACCGGAUACGCCCUAUGGGGGAAAGAUUUAUUGCCGAAAGAUAGGCCCGCGUCCGAUUAGCUAGUUGGUGGGGUAAUGGCGCACCAAGGCGACGAUCGGUAGCUGGUCUGAGAGGAUGAUCAGCCACACUGGGACUGAGACACGGCCCAGACUCCUACGGGAGGCAGCAGUGGGGAAUAUUGGACAAUGGGCGCAAGCCUGAUCCAGCCAUGCCGCGUGAGUGAUGAAGGCCCUAGGGUUGUAAAGCUCUUUCGCCAGGGACGAUAAUGACGGUACCUGGAUAAGAAGCCCCGGCUAACUUCGUGCCAGCCGCCGCAGUAA
rnacentral:rRNA from 1 species